rnacentral:misc_RNA from 1 species
UACGGAGGGUGCAAGCGUUAAUCGGAAUCACUGGGCGUAAAGCGCACGCAGGCGGUUUGUUAAGUCAGAUGUGAAAGCCCCGGGCUCAACCUGGGAACUGCAUUUGAUACUGGCAGACUAGAGUAUGAGAGAGAGAAGUGGAAUUCCACAUGUAGCGGUGAAAUGCGUAGAGAUGUGGAGGAACAUCAGUGGCGAAGGCGACUUCUUGGCUCAAUACUGACGCUCAGGUGCGAAAGCGUGGGGAGCAAACAGG